AUGGAUGAGCUUAUGAAAUUGUUUGCUACUAAGAGUGCUCCUAUUGAUCCCAAUGAUAUGCCUUUAUCCACUUUGAUUGAGAAUAAUAAUGAAUCUAUGGAUGUGAAUUUUGUUGGUAGGAAUAAUUUUGGUAACAGUGCAUAUAGAGGAAACUUUAAUUCUAGACCGUUCCCUAGUAAUUCCUCUAAUAAUUAUGGCAAUUCCUACAAUAAUUCUUAUGGUAAUUUUAAUAAGAUGCCCUCUGAUUUUGAAAAUAGUGUGAAAGAAUUUAUGAUCUCUCAAAAGAAUUUUAAUGCCCUGCUUGAAGAAAAAUUGCUUAAAGUUGAUGAUUUGACUAGGAACGUUGAUAGACUUUCUCUUGAAGUUGAAACUUUGAAACUUAGAUCUACUCCUCCUAAGCAUGAUAUCAAUGAGUCUCUCAAAGCUAUGAGAAGUUCCAUUGGCAAUUGCAAAGAAAGAACCGCUAGAUUGCGUGCUAAGAAAGAUUGCUUUGUUAAAGCGUGCUCUUCUAGUUUCCAUGAAAAUAAUGAUGAAGAUCUUAAAGUUAUUGAUGUGUAA
rnacentral:rRNA from 1 species